UCUCUCGGCCUCCUUCUCGAAGUUGUUGCGGUCGAGUUGCAUGUGAGUCAGCUUUCAAUGUUAUAUAUAACGAAAAAAUCGGUAUCAGUGGGCUGUAAACUGAAACUGGCAUUAAGUUAACCUUGGGAACAGAUGACCAUCUGUGUAACAUACACAAGUGAAACGUUUUCUACUUCAAAAACAAGGAAACUUUCUACCUAAUCCUGGUCACUGCAAAUUUGCAAAUAGCGCCUACGGGCUAGUCAUAGUCCAAUAAAAUAAAAUAACUCAGUCUCUAACUUCCAUGCUUCCAUGUAAAAAAAUGUUGUUCGUUUGACAUGUGUUACGUUGACAGUUUGACAGAUAUUGAAAAAAAAAUCAUAGAUUAUAAAAAUACAUGUUGUUCGUUACACGUUAAUAUUAUUGUUAAAAUCGAUGUUUAGAUUGAGUUCGUUUGAGUAAUAGCGCUUGUGUGAACUAGGCUUUAAAAAUAUAUAUUCCUAAAUAUUUAAAAAAAUAAACUGACUUCAAUUGACAUCAACAAGUAAUACACGCAAAAUAAUAAUUUAAACACGCAUUUUUGGCAAUCCUUUUUUAUAUAUAUAUAUAAAGUUUUCCAAAAUUCAAUCUCAUUUUGUUGCGAAUAUAGGUAUACAAAGAUGUCAUCAGUUUAAAUUGUGGCGGGCAAUGUAAUAAUUUUUAUAUGUAGAAUAUUUAAUAAAACUGGAACAAAAAUAUAUUAAAAUACAUUACUGUACACCGUGCAUUUGUAAUUAGGUUUAGUAGUUGAUAACUAUCGUCGCUUUUACUUUUACGACAAUUACCGCGGAUGUUAUUGUGAAACUUGAAUUUUGGCAACGUUAGUCACAGACAGUAUUUUCAAUAACGAUUUUCCAGCUAGAUAUUUUUAUUUUUACUUUUACACAAGCGCUAUACUAACUCUCAUAAACUCGAAAGACGUUUAGCGACUACUUUACUUUUAACUCAGAUACUAUCAGUGUUGUACGUAGACAGAAUUUCCUCUUCCAGACCGUUGAAAGGUAAUCGGAACGGUGAAAAGACAGGGUAGAAAAUUGUUGUCAUUAAGAAAAGUAAUCAAAAAAUGUAAAAAAUAAAUCUGUUGAUUUUUU